CAAUCUGGACACACUGGACGUUGCGCACGGUGAUAUUGCGGCACCCUGGCCAAGCUUUACAGUAAAUGGGAAAACUUUAAAAAAGGACAUUUUGUAUAAAUAAAUAAACCUAGUUUUACAGCUAGCUGCAUAUUUCAUUUGUAUGCAAGUUGCAUUAAAUCUCAUUAAACUGAAUAAAACUAAAAGACACAAUAGGUAAAAGUCAGUGACAAUAAAAGGAAAAGAGCAGUCAACAUAGUGUAACAAUUCGACAUAGUAUAUAAAAAUAUAAAUAACUACGUAGGACAAAAGAGUAAUUUAAUAGUCUAACAACCCCUGAUAACAUACAAAGAGAGAACAAAACAUACUAGGAAACAUAUUCAAAAAAUCAUAACACUAUAACUAACUGGUGGGAUGUAUAAAUACCGAGCCGCGUCAAAGAGUAUUCAUCAAAAUACACAUAGAAAGAUCUUUCUAAACAGAGGUGAAGGUAAACCGCAAACAUAUAAUUAAACUCAAAACAUUAAAGAGUAUGGAAAAACCUUGGUCUGACAAGCGAAAAACGUCGAUAAGACGCACAUCAGUAAAUAAAAGUUCAAACCAUAACCAGGAUGGAGUACCACAAACCCCAC
rnacentral:lncRNA from 1 species